rnacentral:rRNA from 1 species
AGCUCCAAUAGCGUAUAUUAAAGUUGUUGCAGUUAAAAAGCUCGUAGUUGGAUUUGUGGCUGUCGCGGGCGGCCUGGCACUUAGUGCCAGUGCUUGCAUGCGUCGCCAUCCUUGGGUGGAACCUGUGUGGCAUUAGGUUGUCGUGCAGGGGAUGCCCAUCGUUUACUGUGAAAAAAUUAGAGUGUUCAAAGCAGGCUUAUGCCGUUGAAUAUGUUAGCAUGGAAUAAUAAGAUAGGACCUUGGUACUAUUUUGUUGGUUUGCGCACCAAGGUAAUGAUUAAAAGGGACAGUUGUGGGUAUUCGUAUUCCAUUGUCAGAGGUGAAAUUCUUGGAUUUUUGGAAGACGAACUACUGCGAAAGCAUUUACCAAGGAUGUUUUCAUUAAUCAAGAACGAAAGUA